rnacentral:rRNA from 1 species
ACGGGAGGCAGCAGUGGGGAAUAUUGGACAAUGGAUGGAAGUCUGAUCCAGCCGUGCCGCGUGAAGGAUUGAUGCCCUACGGGUUUUGAACUUCUUUUGUACGGGGGCAAUAAGGUCCACGCGUGGACCGAUGAGAGUACCGUACGAAUAAGCAUAGGCUAACUCCGUGCCAGCAGCCGCGGUAAUACGGAGGAUGCGAGCGUUAUCCGGAUUUCUUGGGUUUAAAGGGUGCGUAGGCGGCUUGCCAAGUCAGCUGUGAAAUCCGGGCGCCCAACGCCGGAACUGCCUGUGAAACUGGCGGGCUUGAAUGGUGCCGCCGCAUGCGGAAUGUGUGAAGUAGCGGUGAAAUGCAUAGAUAUCACACAGAACGCCGAUUGUGGAAACAGCAUGCGAGACACGGAUUGACGCUGAGGCACGAAUGUGCGGUGAUCGAACAGGAUUAGAUACCCUGGUA